CAGCCGCGGUAAUACGAAGGGUGCAAGCGUUACUCGAAAUUACUGGGUUUAAAGGGUGCGUAGGCGUCCUGACAAGUUUUAGGUGAAAUGCCCAGGCUUAACCUGGGAGCUGCCUGAAAAACUGUUGGGAUUGAGUACAGACGAGGUAGGCGGAAUUGACGGUGUAGCGGUGAAAUGCAUAGAUAUCGUCAGGAACACCGAUAGCGAAGGCAGCUUACUAGACUGUAACUGACGCUGAGGCACGAAAGUGUGGGGAUCAAAC
rnacentral:rRNA from 1 species